CACAGGAAGGGGAUUUGCGCUAAAGAGAGAAGCUUGGUGCAGGAGUUUAGGAAAGGCUGGCAAUAGUGUUGCCACAUUACAAGCCUUCAGGACAAUUUAGGUCAUUAAGGUCCCUGAAAAUUGGCUACAANN
rnacentral:snoRNA from 1 species